NNGAUCGUACUUCUAGGGACUAGUCCUAUAGUACGUAUCACCAGGACGUCAAACAAACUUGACCCUGGCCAACUAACUGCGAUGAUUAACAGUGCGCCUGGUCCUGAGCGUGAAGCGGGUGUGUGGCUGUCCGUCUGGCUGGUUUCUCACGGCUCGGCCGCCUCCUUUUCCGAUCGUCCAGCCGAACUAAGGAGUGCAUGCGAAAU
rnacentral:snoRNA from 1 species